UACGUAGGGUGCAAGCGUUUGUCCGGAAUUAUUGGGCGUAAAGAGCUCGUAGGCGGUCUGUCGCGUCGGCUGUGAAAACCUAGGGCUCAACCCUGGGCCUGCAGCCGAUACGGGCAGACUAGAAUUCGGUAGGGGAGACUGGAAUUCCUGGUGGUAGCGGUGAAAUGCGCAGAUAUCAGGAGGAACACCGGUGGCGAAGGCGGGUCUCUGGGCCGAUAUUGACGCUGAGGAGCGAAAGCGUGGGGAGCGAACAGG
rnacentral:rRNA from 1 species